UAGGGAAUCUUCCGCAAUGGACGCAAGUCUGACGGAGCAACGCCGCGUGAGUGAAGAAGGAUUUCGGUUCGUAAAACUCUGUUGUUAGAGAAGAACAGCGCAUAGAGUAACUGUUAUGCGUGUGACGGUAUAUAACCAGAAAGCCACGGCUAACUACGUGCCAGCAGCCGCGGUAAUACGUAGGUGGCAAGCGUUGUCCGGAUUUAUUGGGCGUAAAGCGAGCGCAGGCGGUCAAUUAAGUCUGAUGUGAAAGCCCCCGGCUCAACCGGGGAGGGUCAUUGGAAACUGGUUGACUUGAGUGCAGAAGAGGAGAGUGGAAUUCCAUGUGUAGCGGUGAAAUGCGUAGAUAUAUGGAGGAACACCAGUGGCGAAGGCGACUCUCUGGUCUGUAACUGACGCUGAGGCUCGAAAGCGUGGGUAGCAAACAGG
rnacentral:rRNA from 1 species